AUUGAACGCUGGCGGAAUGCUUUACACAAGCAAGUCGAACGGCAGCACGGACUUCGGUCUGGUGGCGAGUGGCGAACGGGUGAGUAAUGUAUCGGAACGUGCCCAGUCGUGGGGGAUAACGUAGUGAAAAUUACGCUAAUACCGCAUACGAUCUAUGGAUGAAAGCGGGGGAUCGCAAGACCUCGCGCGAUUGGAGCGGCCGAUAUCAGAUUAGGUAGUUGGUGGGGUAAAGGCCCACCAAGCCAACGAUCUGUAGCUGGUCUGAGAAGACGACCAGCCACACUGGAACUGAGACACGGUCCAGACUCCUACGGGAGGCAGCAGUGGGGAAUUUUGGACAAUGGGCGAAAGCCUGAUCCAGCCAUUCCGCGUGCAGGAUGAAGGCCCUCGGGUUGUAAACUGCUUUUGUACAGAACGAAAAGGUUUCUACUAAUACUAGGAGCUCAUGACGGUACUGUAAGAAUAAGCACCGGCUAACUACGUGCCAGCCGCCGCGGUAA
rnacentral:rRNA from 1 species